GAUGAACGCUGGCGGCGUGCCUAAUACAUGCAAGUCGAGCGAACGGACGAGAAGCUUGCUUCUCUGAUGUUAGCGGCGGACGGGUGAGUAACACGUGGAUAACCUACCUAUAAGACUGGGAUAACUUCGGGAAACCGGAGCUAAUACCGGAUGAUAUUUUGAACCGCAUGGUUCAAAAGUGAAAGACGGUCUUGCUGUCACUUAUAGAUGGAUCCACGCUGCAUUAGCUAGUUGGUAAGGUAACGGCUUACCAAGGCAACGAUGCAUAGCCGACCUGAGAGGGUGAUCGGCCACACUGGAACUGAGACACGGUCCAGACUCCUACGGGAGGCAGCAGUAGGGAAUCUUCCGCAAUGGGCGAAAGCCUGACGGAGCAACGCCGCGUGAGUGAUGAAGGUCUUCGGAUCGUAAAACUCUGUUAGUAGGGAAGAACAUAUGUGUAAGUAACUGUGCACAUCUUGACGGUACCUAAUCAGAAAGCCACGGCUAACUACGUG
rnacentral:rRNA from 1 species